UCCUUCACUGAAACAUGUGCUAUGAGGAUUAGAAACAUGAUUUUCUGCACAGCAGAGGUGCAAUUUAUGUUCUGUUAUGGAUGUCUUGGAUAUGGAUAUUCACAUCAGUUGAAACUGCCAGGAGCAGAUCCUGCCCAGGCUGUGGCAUAUUCCAUGUUUCUACGGGUUCCACCACCAGAAGA